rnacentral:rRNA from 1 species
AAACAUGGCUCUCUGUAUAUUGAAGAUAGAGAGUCGGACCUGCCCAGUGAAUUUUUUAACGGCCGCGGUACUCUGACCGUGCAAAGGUAGCAAAAUCAUUUGCCUUAUAAUUGAAGGCUAGAAUGAAUGGUUUGACAAGAAUACAACUGUCUCUUUACAAUUACAUAAAAUUUUAUCUGCAGUUGAAGAAGCCUGCAUUUGAAUAAAAGACAAGAAGACCCUAUCGAGCUUAAAAAAAACUGGUGGAAUAACAAACUUAAUCCUAACUUAUAAAUAAAUAAAUAGUCAACUACUGGAAAUUUUGGUUGGGGCGACCGGGGAACAAAAAAAACUUCCUUUAUAAAAAUUUAGAUGCCCAAAUAUUGAUCCAGCAUUAUAUGAUUAAAGAAAUUAGUUACCGUAGGGAUAACAGCAUUAUCUUUUUUAAGAGUUCUUAUCGAAAAAAAGGUUUGUGACCUCGAUGUUGGACCAGAAUAUCCUAAAGAUGCAGCCGUCUUUAAGGGUUGGUCUGUUCGACCAUUAAAAUUCUACGUGAUCUGAGUUCAGACCGG